rnacentral:rRNA from 1 species
GCUUAACACAUGCAAGUCGAACGGAAAGGCCCUGCUUUUGUGGGGUGCUCGAGUGGCGAACGGGUGAGUAACACGUGAGUAACCUGCCCUUGACUUUGGGAUAACUUCAGGAAACUGGGGCUAAUACCGGAUAGGAGCUCCUGCUGCAUGGUGGGGGUUGGAAAGUUUCGGCGGUUGGGGAUGGACUCGCGGCUUAUCAGCUUGUUGGUGGGGUAGUGGCUUACCAAGGCUUUGACGGGUAGCCGGCCUGAGAGGGUGACCGGCCACAUUGGGACUGAGAUACGGCCCAGACUCCUACGGGAGGCAGCAGUGGGGAAUAUUGCACAAUGGGCGGAAGCCUGAUGCAGCAACGCCGCGUGCGGGAUGACGGCCUUCGGGUUGUAAACCGCUUUCGCCUGUGACGAAGCGUGAGUGACGGUAAUGGGUAAAGAAGCACUGGCUAACUACGUGCCAGCAGCCGCGGUGAUACGUAGGGUGCGAGCGUUGUCCGGAUUUAUUGGGCGUAAAGGGCUCGUAGGUGGUUGAUCGCGUCGGAAGUGUAAUCUUGGGGCUUAACCCUGAGCGUGCUUUCGAUACGGGUUGACUUGAGGAAGGUAGGGGAGAAUGGAAUUCCUGGUGGAGCGGUGGAAUGCGCAGAUAUCAGGAGGAACACCAGUGGCGAAGGCGGUUCUCUGGGCCUUUCCUGACGCUGAGGAGCGAAAGCGUGGGGAGCGAACAGGCUUAGAUACCCUGGUAGUCCACGCUGUAAACGGUGGGUACUAGGUGUGGGGUCCAUUCCACGGGUUCCGUGCCGUAGCUAACGCUUUAAGUACCCCGCCUGGGGAGUACGGCCGCAAGGCUAAAACUCAAAGGAAUUGACGGGGCCCCGCACAAGCGGCGGAGCAUGCGGAUUAAUUCGAUGCAACGCGUAGAACCUUACCUGGGUUUGACAUGGAUCGGGAGUGCUCAGAGAUGGGUGUGCCUCUUUUGGGGUCGGUUCACAGGUGGUGCAUGGCUGUCGUCAGCUCGUGUCGUGAGAUGUUGGGUUAAGUCCCGCAACGAGCGCAACCCUUGUUCACUGUUGCCAGCACGUUAUGGUGGGGACUCAGUGGAGACCGCCGGGGUCAACUCGGAGGAAGGUGGGGAUGACGUCAAGUCAUCAUGCCCCUUAUGUCCAGGGCUUCACGCAUGCUACAAUGGCUGGUACAGAGAGUGGCGAGCCUGUGAGGGUGAGCGAAUCUCGGAAAGCCGGUCUCAGUUCGGAUUGGGGUCUGCAACUCGACCUCAUGAAGUCGGAGUCGCUAGUAAUCGCAGAUCAGCAACGCUGCGGUGAAUACGUUCCCGGGGCUUGUACACACCGCCCGUCAAGUCAUGAAAGUUGGUAACACCCGAAGCCGGUGGCUUAACCGUUGUGGGGGAGCCGUCGAAGGUGGGACUGGUGAUUAGGACUAAGU